AAAGAGAAUGGGAAUUUUGAGUCAUGGUAGCAUUUCCAAAUCACAGCAUCCAGAAGUCUUGUGUAGAUGAGAGAAGCCAGUCACCAGGUAUCACUAGCAGGCAUCUUUCUGAAGUGGGUCUUUUGCCCACAACCUGCAGAUCCAUGAUCUUUGCACUUGAACGCACCUAGGAGUGAGUCACCGUGGAAUCCUGCUGAAAUGCCGACUCUGACUCGAUACCACUGACAUGAAAGAUACUGAACGAAUUCCCUGGAAAAGCAGACAGUCACAUCCCUCCGCGCGCGUGCCGGUUUCCGGAGAGGAACUGAUGCGGCCGCAGCUGCUCUCGGCCUCUUUGCAGAUGUCCUCGUCCCCACGCCGUGCUAAGGUCGUCUUAAAAAAUGGCUGAGGGCCGACAGCAAUGAAGAAGCUGAGGCCCAACGUAGUAGACGAUUUGGCCAAGGUCACCCAGCGGGGAAGUAGCUGUCUUGAGGGGUCCGUGCUGCGGUCAAGGUCUGGCAGAAGGCAAUCUUGGAAAGCAGUGUUAGCGAGAUGGCCGGGAGCACUGUCACCCCGACCCAAAGCGACUUGAUCGUUUCCACUGUAUCAUCAUUUCAGAAAUCUUAGCAGCUUCAGAAUUCACAUUAUGGCCUAACUCCGUUUUAACCUCCACCACUCUGACUGGUUUUCUACAGAAGAGGAAACAGAACGCCGACCUGGCUCACUCUCUCCACGGUCACUCAGCAAGUAAGAAGCAGAAACAUACUGUAAACCAAGUUACUUGGCCUCCAACACCUGUGCUCCUUUUGAGGCCAUACAUCCUCCUAGUGGUGUUUUUAGAUAGAGGACCAGGCAGUAUUUGUCUCUAUAGGAAUAGUCAUGAAAUUCUGACCUUUACUCUGAAAGACCAUCAUUUACUGUUUCAAAGGAAUACCAGAAGUUAAAGUGGCAAUUGCUCAAUAUUCAGCGUGGGGAGCAAGGAGGGAGGGAGCAACGAAGGAAGGAUAAUGAAUGCUUGAAUUUAUAAUAUAAUGAGUUUCCUGCAAUUACCAGAAAUGUCCACAAGAUGUCACUAUUUCACACUACUUCUGCAAAGCCAUCCCUGUAAGGAAAUUUUGACCUUUGGACAGAGAUGAUUUUAUCUCUUAUAAUGGAAAAAAGCUCAGUCAUUUCUAAUGUCUUUGGAUUGCUUCCUUGUUUCUCUUAAAUUUGCCUCAAGAGAGAAUGCAAAAACAUAGACUUUAAUUAAGGCCUGAGACAAUAUCCUGAUAGUGGGAGAUAUUAACCAAGACAUUACCCACUCAAGGGGUUUCCAGGCUGUUCCAGGGCUAGAGACAUUGCAGGAAGCCCUCAUUUUGCUGGGUUGUAGAGCUCCCAUCAGCACUUUGUGGUAACUCUACCAUGCUCACUGCUUCAGACUCAGAGAACCAGUAAUUGAGCAACAUCCAAAAGACAGCACAUUGGGGUUUUAAAUUGUGCUUUUUUCUUGAAAUAGUUCUCACACUUUGUUUUACAAGACUGAGGCUCAAAGGACUAUAGUGAGUUUAUGUGUCAUAUACACAUUUAAUAGAUAUGCAUACAUCACACUCAUAAUUCAAAUGAGGACUGUCCUGUGCUUAUGGAGGCUUUUUUCCCAAGUAUAAUUGGAGUCAAAUUUACAGAUCAUCAUUUCAGGUUUUCAUAAGUUUUAAAGCAGACUGCCAUUGCAUUAACCAGGCUCACAAUUGCAACCUCAGCUAUAUUUAGCACAGAGAAACUUUUUUUUUUUUGCUUUUUAGGGCUGCACUCCUGGCAUAUGGAGAUUCCCAGGCUAGGGAUCCAAUCAGAGCUACAGCUAGUGGCCUACGCCACAGCCACAGCAAGGCCAGAUCCUAACUGCAUCUGCGACCUACACCACAGCUCACAGCAACACCAGAUCCUUUACCCACUGAGUGAAGCCAGGGAUCGAACCCUCAACCUCAUGGUUCCUAGUUGGAUUUGUUUCCGCUGUGCCACAACAGGAACUCCUUAACUAUUUUUUCAGUUUAAACAUAUUCAUGAGGUCUGUUGAUGGAAAAUGUGGGGACUGCUGAUUUUUAAGGUCCCAGCAAGUUUGGAAGUUUAUGUACUUUAUUAGCGUUCUCUACUGAGAGUCUUUCUUCUAAUAUUUUUUUAAAAAACUGAAAUUGAGCCAAUCAUUAAUGGCAGGUCAAGUCUGGCUACCCUAAGAAGACACUGAACUCAUUCUGUUAUAAAAAGCGAACGCUUUCUGCUUGGUCAUUUUUGGAAGGUGGUGCCACUUUUUUAGACCAAAAGAGCGGUUUGGCUUGAAAGGCCCAUAUUUCAUCCACAAACACAUCUUACUUGGGGCUCAAUGCAGUCACUGAGCAGGCAGUGAGUUAAAAGGCUCAGAGAAGCAGGUCUCGGCCUCCAUAGGCUGAUGGAUUGUGAGAUAAGUCAAAGUUAUUUCUUACUAAUAAUAAAGAGACAAAUGCAGCAAUUUACUUUUUAAAAAAAUUAUGAGCCCCGGUUCCAGCUAAACCCCCAUUGUGGCCUCACCAGUUUUCCUUCCUUGAUGUGCUCACUGAAGCAGAUUAGGAAGGGAUGGAGGAUUUAAGGGCUAUAGGACAGGUUCACAAAGUUCCAGCCUCCAUAGGAAGCACGAGGCUUUUGUACACAUGCAUACCUAUAAGAAUAAGAAAAACUGUUUUGACUACAAAAGAGAAACGAGCAAUAAAAUAUCAACAG
rnacentral:lncRNA from 1 species